AACGAACGCUGGCGGCAUGCCUAACACAUGCAAGUCGAACGAAACCUUCGGGUCUUGUGUCGCCCGGGUGCGUAACGCGUGGGAAUCUACCCUCAGGUUCGGCAUAACUCAGAGAAUUUUGUGCUAUUACCGGAUGAUGACGUAUGUCCAAAGAUUUAUCGCCUGAGAAUGAGCCCGCGUAGGAUUAGGUAGUUGUGGAGGUAAUGGCUCACCAAGCCGCCGAUCCUUAGCUGGUCAGAGAGGAAGCUCAGCCACACUGGGACUGGGACACGGCCCAGACUCCUACGGGAGGCAGCAGUGGGGAAUAGUGGACAAUGGGGUAAAGCAUGAUCCAGCAAUGCCGCGUGAGUGAUGAAGGCAUUAGGGUUGUAAAGCUCUUUUACCCGGGAUGAUAAUGACAGUACCGGGAGAAUAAGCCCCGGCUAACUCCGUG
rnacentral:rRNA from 1 species